rnacentral:rRNA from 1 species
UACGGAGGGGACUAGCGUUGUUCGGAAUUACUGGGCGUAAAGCGUACGCAGGCGGAUCGAUAAGUUGGGGGUGAAAUCCCGGGGCUCAACCCCGGAACUGCCCUCAAAACUGUUGAUCUAGAGACCGGGAGAGGUAAGUGGAAUACCUAGUGUAGAGGUGAAAUUCGUAGAUAUUAGGUGGAACACCAGUGGCGAAGGCGACUUACUGGACCGGAACUGACGCUGAGGUACGAAAGCGUGGGGAGCAAACAGG